rnacentral:rRNA from 1 species
GGCCUAACACAUGCAAGUCGAACGAUAAGCCACCUUCGGGUGGUGGACAGUGGCAGACGGGUGAGUAACGCGUGGGAACGUGCCUUUCGGUUCGGAAUAACCCAGGGAAACUUGGGCUAAUACCGGAUACGCCCUUCGGGGGAAAGAUUCAUUGCCGAAAGAUCGGCCCGCGUCGGAUUAGCUAGUUGGUGGGGUAAUGGCUCACCAAGGCGACGAUCGGUAGCUGGUCUGAGAGGACGAUCAGCCACACUGGGACUGAGACACGGCCCAGACUCCUACGGGAGGCAGCAGUGGGGAAUAUUGGACAAUGGGGGCAACCCUGAUCCAGCCAUGCCGCGUGAGUGAUGAAGGCCUUCGGGUUGUAAAGCUCUUUUGGCGGGGACGAUGAUGACGGUACCCGCAGAAUAAGCCCUGGCUAACUUCGUGCCAGCAGCCGCGGUAAGACGAAGG